rnacentral:rRNA from 1 species
UACGUAGGGUGCAAGCGUUGUCCGGAAUCAUUGGGCGUAAAGCGCGUGUAGGCGGUCCGGUAAGUCCGCUGUGAAAGUCGGGGGCUCAACCCUCGGAUGCCGGUGGAUACUGUCGGGCUUGAGUACGGUAGAGGCGAGUGGAAUUCCUGGUGUAGCGGUGAAAUGCGUAGAUAUCAGGAGGAAUACCGAUGGCGAAGGCAGGUCUCUGGGCUGACACUGACGCUCAUGCACGAAAGCGUGGGGAGCAAACAGG